rnacentral:rRNA from 1 species
UACGGGGGGGAGCAAGCGUUGUUCGGAUUUACUGGGCGUAAAGGGCGCGUAGGCGGUCAGCACAAGUCAGUUGUGAAAUCUCCGGGCUUAACUCGGAAAGGUCAACUGAUACUGUGCGACUAGAGUGCAGAAGGGGCAACUGGAAUUCUCGGUGUAGCGGUGAAAUGCGUAGAUAUCGGGAAGAACACCCGUGGCGAAGGCGGUUCUCUGGGACGGUACUGACGCUGAGACGCGAAAGCGUGGGGAGCGAACAGG